CCUAAGAAGAACCGCCCCCUGCCACUAGCCCAAGCCAGGCCUGCUUCUCUGGGGAGAGGAGGCACGGUAGCCCCUGACCCUAGCCGCUGCCCGACCCCCAGACCACAGCCUGCAAGAGGCUAACCCCUCCCUACUGCCCUGUGGCCCGCGCCCCCACCCCGUUGGUUGACGAGGCUGCCCCUGCCCGCACGUAUUUUGUAUUAUAAAAUGACUGCCGUCGCCAUGGCAACAUAAAAGGAGCCGAUCUCAUUACUGGGUCCUGGACACAUUAUUUUCUCCAAGGAAUUUCUUCUUUUCAUUAUUUCCCUCCAAAGGCUCUAAUCCUUCUGAUAUGUUACCUGUGGCCCAGGAUGUCAUGUGCAGCCCAGAAAGCUGGCCUUUGCCCAGAAGGAGAGUAUGAAUGUCCAAAUCUCCUGACUGGUUGGCACAUUUCCUAGGGGAAAGGCUCUGAGCCUGUCUGGAGAGAGAAGAUGCUCCAACGACAGCCCCGCCCUGGGUGGGACAAAGGGAAGGAGAUAAAGCGAUUUCUUUUCAGAGGUCUUUGGGCUAUGGGGUAGAGGGGGUUGAGGGGGGUUGAGGGCAGGUGG
rnacentral:lncRNA from 1 species